GCGGCGAGCGAACGGGGAGCAGCCCAGAGCCUGAAUCAGUGUGUGUGUUAGUGGAAGCGUCUGGAAAGGCGCGCGAUACAGGGUGACAGCCCCGUACACAAAAAUGCACAUGCUGUGAGCUCGAUGAGUAGGGCGGGACACGUGGUAUCCUGUCUGAAUAUGGGGGGACCAUCCUCCAAGGCUAAAUACUCCUGACUGACCGAUAGUGAACCAGUACCGUGAGGGAAAGGCGAAAAGAACCCCGGCGAGGGGAGUGAAAAAGAACCUGAAACCGUGUACGUACAAGCAGUGGGAGCACGCUUAGGCGUGUGACUGCGUACCUUUUGUAUAAUGGGUCAGCGACUUAUAUUCUGUAGCAAGGUUAACCGAAUAGGGGAGCCGAAGGGAAACCGAGUCUUAACUGGGCGUUAAGUUGCAGGGUAUAGACCCGAAACCCGGUGAUCUAGCCAUGGGCAGGUUGAAGGUUGGGUAACACUAACUGGAGGACCGAACCGACUAAUGUUGAAAAAUUAGCGGAUGACUUGUGGCUGGGGGUGAAAGGCCAAUCAAACCGGGAGAUAGCUGGUUCUCCCCGAAAGCUAUUUAGGUAGCGCCUCGUGAAUUCAUCUCCGGGGGUAGAGCACUGUUUCGGCAAGGGGGUCAUCCCGACUUACCAACCCGAUGCAAACUGCGAAUACCGGAGAAUGUUAUCACGGGAGACACACGGCGGGUGCUAACGUCCGUCGUGAAGAGGGAAACAACCCAGACCGCCAGCUAAGGUCCCAAAGUCAUGGUUAAGUGGGAAACGAUGUGGGAAGGCCCAGACAGCCAGGAUGUUGGCUUAGAAGCAGCCAUCAUUUAAAGAAAGCGUAAUAGCUCACUGGUCGAGUCGGCCUGCGCGGAAGAUGUAACGGGGCUAAACCAUGCACCGAAGCUGCGGCAGCGACGCUUAUGCGUUGUUGGGUAGGGGAGCGUUCUGUAAGCCUGUGAAGGUGUGCUGUGAGGCAUGCUGGAGGUAUCAGAAGUGCGAAUGCUGACAUAAGUAACGAUAAAGCGGGUGAAAAGCCCGCUCGCCGGAAGACCAAGGGUUCCUGUCCAACGUUAAUCGGGGCAGGGUGAGUCGACCCCUAAGGCGAGGCCGAAAGGCGUAGUCGAUGGGAAAC
rnacentral:rRNA from 1 species